rnacentral:misc_RNA from 1 species
AACAAUCCCCCUUUCACCCAAACUAAUAAUCUUUCUGUCAAUUAGUCAACCUAUAUAAAUUCAUUUACCAUAUUAAUCAGAGUCUUAUCAAUUACAAACGCACCACUAUCCUUUGUAUUGAACAGAUUACAACCACUUAUUACAAAUUGAGGCUGCCCCAUAAAUGAACUUCGCAUCGAUUCAUCAAUUCAAAACUGAACGUCUCAUCAUAAUGUUUUAAGAUUUUCAACAACUAUAACUGUGUUAAAGCCCUAAACCUUUCCAACCUACAAACAUGUAAAUAGGCAGAACGGGGAAGAAAAGCAGCGGGUCUGUGUGGCAGCAGCGACGGCUUCGUGAUUUCGGUUUUCCCGAGCUCUGGGGAGAAAAAA